CCUACGGGAGGCAGCAGUGAGGAAUAUUGGUCAAUGGACGAGAGUCUGAACCAGCCAAGUAGCGUGCAGGAUGACGGCCCUAUGGGUUGUAAACUGCUUUUAUAAGGGAAUAAAGUGAGUCUCGUGAGACUUUUUGCAUGUACCUUAUGAAUAAGGACCGGCUAAUUCCGUGCCAGCAGCCGCGGUAAUACGGAAGGUCCGGGCGUUAUCCGGAUUUAUUGGGUUUAAAGGGAGCGUAGGCCGGAGAUUAAGCGUGUUGUGAAAUGUAGAUGCUCAACAUCUGCACUGCAGCGCGAACUGGUUUCCUUGAGUACGCACUAAGUGGGCGGAAUUCGUGGUGUAGCGGUGAAAUGCUUAGAUAUCACGAAGAACUCCGAUUGCGAAGGCAGCUCACUGGAGCGCAACUGACGCUGAAGCUCGAAAGUGCGGGUAUCGAACAGGAUUAGAUACCCUGGUAGUCCGCACGGUAAACGAUGGAUGCCCGCUGUUGGUCUGAAUAGGUCAGCGGCCAAGCGAAAGCAUUAAGCAUCCCACCUGGGGAGUACGCCGGCAACGGUGCAACUCAAAGGAAUUGACGGA
rnacentral:rRNA from 1 species